GAUGAAGAACGUAGCGAAAUGCGAUAAGUAAUGUGAAUUGCAGAAUUCAGUGAAUCAUCGAAUCUUUGAACGCACAUUGCGCCGCCAGUAUUCUGGCGGGCAUGCCUGUUCGAGCGUCAUUUCAACCAUCAAGCCCUGCUUGCGUUGGGGUCCUGCGGCUGCCCGCAGGCCCUGAAAACCAGUGGCGGGCUCGCUAGUCACACCGAGCGCAGUAAUACAUCUCGCUUUGGGCGUGCGGCGGGUUCUUGCCGUUAAACACCCCCUUUUUACCAAGGUUGACCUCGGAUCAGGUAGGAAUACCCGCUGAACUUAAGCAUAUCAAUAAGCGGAGGA
rnacentral:misc_RNA from 1 species